GACGAACGCUGGCGGCGUGCUUAACACAUGCAAGUCGAACGAUGAACUGGGUGCUUGCACCUGGGGAUUAGUGGCGAACGGGUGAGUAACACGUGAGUAACCUGCCCUGGACUCUGGGAUAACCCCGAGAAAUCGGAGCUAAUACCGGAUAGGACCCUGUACCGCAUGGUGUGGGGUGGAAAGUUUUUCGGUCUGGGAUGGACUCGCGGCCUAUCAGCUUGUUGGUGAGGUAAUGGCUCACCAAGGCGUCGACGGGUAGCCGGCCUGAGAGGGUGACCGGCCAGACUGGGACGGAGACACGGCCCAGACUCCUACGGGAGGCAGCAGUGGGGAAUAUUGCACAAUGGGCGCAAGCCUGAUGCAGCAACGCCGCGUGCGGGAUGACGGCCUUCGGGUUGUAAACCGCUUUUAGUAAGGAAGAAGGGGAGCUUGCUCCUUGACGGUACUUGCGGAAAAAGGACCGGCUAACUACGUGCCAGCCGCCGCAGUAAUAC
rnacentral:rRNA from 1 species